rnacentral:lncRNA from 1 species
AAAUAGAAAAUUUUUGAGGUAAUUAUGUAUUCAUAUAAAAGUCUUUGGUGGAUAUGCUUUUUCCCACAAGCACUUGGUUAGAAUGGCCCAUUACCUCAUUUGUUUAUUUUUUGAGACAGGGUCUCUUGUCACCCAGGCUGGAGUACAGUGGCAUGAUCAUGGGUUACUGUACCUCCCGGGCUUGGGUGAUUCUCCCACCUCAGCCUCCCUUGUAGCUGCGACUACAGGCAUGUGCCACCGUGCCCUGCCAAUUUUUUGUAGAGACAGGAUUUAGCCGUGUUGCUCAGGCUGCUCUUGAACUCCCGGACUUGAGCAGUCUGCUUGUCUAAGCCUUCCAAAGUGCUGGGAUUACAGGUGUGAGCCACUGUGCCCAGCCUGUUACCUCAUUUAAAACAAAUUUUGCACAUCUGAACAGCCUAAAAUUGUAAUGUGAUAAGUGGGGUAGGAGUGGGGUGGGCGUAGUGGGAUUUUGAAUCAAUGAAGGCCCUUGUUCUUGUGGCAUCCUUUUGCAGUGAUUCCCUGCCAGGCAAGGCAGUAAACCUGGGAUUGCCUGCCCAGGACUGUAAUCACAUUGAUGUCCCAGCGCCAUGGAGUAUGUAAUGAAUGAACUGCCAGCAGAACUACUCACUAAGAACUACUCCCUGUUUGUGAGGAUUGUACCUGUUGAGAGAAGUUGCAAAAAGAAUUAGUCAAAAGAAUUAGUCAAAAUUUGUCCUCUGACCUAGGUCUGAAGGACAUUUAACACAUUGAUUGUUCUCUUCAUCCAGCCUUUGAGCCCUAUGAGUUAGUGCCCUUAGCCUUUGAGUCCCACAGGUAUGGAGGAGCUACCUGUGGGGACCUGAGCCAUCACUAUUCCUGCUUCAAGUUACACUGGUGCCUCUCACUAGCACUGCUCUGAAAAGCCAGCUGGAAAAAUCAAUGCAUUUGAGUACAUAAAUUCUUUGGCUCCAAAGAAAUGCCAUAGCAAUAUUGCUUUUAAUUCAGUUUUGUUUAGAUGUUAGAAUUGGUAUUUGUUCUUGCUUUUUGGUUGCGAUGGAGUUAUAUACUAAGUUACUUAUACUAAGGCAUUAGUAGUCUCAUAUCUGAGGAGCAAUUGUAUUUUUAGUUCAGCUAAAUUAAUGCCUCUUUUUAAAUACUAACUUGUACUACUUUUGUGGCUGUGAAUGGUAUCUUUUAUUGAACUGAGGCAGCUUUUAAAAGACUUGCCUGAUCAUUUAGAGCACUCCCAUUGAGGUUAAAUUAGACUUGAAUCUGUAAUGAUUCUCGUAACUGUUCCUGGUGUGUGUCCAGCACAAUGUUGCUGGGCAGAGCAGAGGGGCAGAGGCUCAGGUAUGUACUUCAUUGACAAGUGGGCAAGGCCAUCCUGGGUACCACAUUGGCUUAAUGAUCUCUUCAUUGUGAAGUCCGGCUACCUCGUUUGCAUAAGAACUACAGUAAUCAGGCAAGGCAUUGUCAGAAUUGGGAGGAAUAAAAUCAGUGAGUCUGGAAGGAGUGCUCUGUAUACAAUUGCAAAGAACAAAAUGGUCAUCUUUAAGGUACCUGAUUGCAUGCACUUAAAUGCAGAUUAUUUUGGAGUUUGAAAAGGGACUAUUAAUGAAAUCUUUCUUUUCCCUCCUUUCUCUUUUUCCCUUCCCCGCCACUGAUUCAGUGAGCUGGAGAUUGGAUCACAGGUAUAAUUCAAGCUUUUCAUGUAGUCAUGUAGAUCACUAGACUCCUUGGUGUACUGACGUAGCAAUUUAAAAGCAGAUCAUGUGUAGUACAUCUAGAAGUAGAUUUACAAAUAUUCUGAAGAGUUGUAACCUUUUAAAAUACUAACAGUGACAUGGUUUUGUUUUUAAGGUUUAGCAAUAUUUAGCCCAUUAUUUUUGUUUUAUUCUUAACUUGAAUGUUUGUAAAUUUUAUUUCUUGAUGCUUUCAUUGUGUUAUGAUAACAUCAAAAUAACUUGAUAUUCUAGGUUACUAAUAAUUGUUGUGCAUGAGUGUUACUACUUUUGGAAUUGAAGACUUUAAAGAAUUUUAAAGGCAGUUGUUGACUAAACUUCUUUCUCUUGAUUCACAGCCGAAGGAGUAAAGGUGCUGCAAUGAUGUUAGCUGUGGCCACUGUGGAUUUUUCGCAAGAACAUUAAUAAACUAAAAACUUCAUGUG